rnacentral:rRNA from 1 species
UACGAAGGGGGCUAGCGUUGCUCGGAAUCACUGGGCGUAAAGCGCACGUAGGCGGACUUUUAAGUCAGGGGUGAAAUCCCAGAGCUCAACUCUGGAACUGCCUUUGAUACUGGAAGUCUUGAGUAUGGUAGAGGUGAGUGGAAUUCCGAGUGUAAGAGGUGAAAUUCGUAGAUAUUCGGAGGAACACCAGUGGCGAAGGCGGCUCACUGGACCAUUACUGACGCUGAGGUGCGAAAGCGUGGGGAGCAAACAGG